GGGGGCAGAGCAGAGGUGCCCAAAAAUCAAACCCAAACAAUAAAAUCAUUGCUUACCACUACACUUUAUAUGCCUACUGAUACCAGAGCCUCCCUCAUCACCAGUCUGAGGGGCAAGUGAGGAUGGCUGAGGCAAUUAUUAAACCAAAAUGAGAAAGUAAUUACAGCUGUGGACUCUAAUUACUGCAAGUGAAAACAUUUCAGCUGGAAAAUUCUCAUCAUUGCAAUACUGACCUUUGCAAAGGGCUUUAAAUCCUUGAGUGGAAGUAGCAGGGCCGCUGCCAUGCAAGGUUAAAGCAGCCGAGCUGGACCUGCUGGGAUGUUGUGCACGGAUGGGCUGGGUGUGCUGCUGGAAACUGGGAUUUAUGGGGUUUCUCUGAGGAGUUGGUGGUGCAGAGGUGAACCUCAGGGUGAAGCUCCACAAGAUAUUUCCUUGGAUAAGAGAGAAUUGCCACCAUGCAACCCCUCCUUGCUGUGAACACACACACGGAGCACCAGCCAGCCUUCGGAAUUCCCAGCUCCUCUUUCACUGCCCAGAUGUGUGUGGGGAUUGUCUCAGUGUCCUGUUACAGGAGAACUGGGGCCAGGUUUCACCCUCCACCACCUGCCCCGAGGUGGCUGGUGAUAUUCAGAUCUGGGCAGAUUCUCCC